UUGAGCAUGCAGGCCUUUGGACUGCACAAGUUUUUUUUUUCUUGACCCAAGGUGUUUAUUGCCUUCAAGGGGAAAGCUCAUGGUGCCAACGUGUGAGCAUGUUUAUCCUCAGAAAGAAAGAAAUGUGGUCAUUGAGGAUGGCUAUGAUAUGAUUGAGGGUUGGCACUCAAUGUAUCUUUAGAGCCUAUGGCUUAUUUA
rnacentral:misc_RNA from 1 species